UGUUCUGUUUUUUCAUGUUGCUGGAAUUCUUUUGCUGUUGUCUUCUCAUCUGACUCCUCUGGGCUCAGGGCUAAUAGAAUUAUAGGGCAGCUGUUUUCCUUUGGUGUGAACUCUCCUGCUUAGGAAAAAGGGAGGACUCUAGGUGGGGAUUUUAUGUCCUACCCUGGAAUGUUGACCCAUCAGUGGAAGAGCAGGCACACUGAGGACCGGUAGGUCAGCUGUUCUAUUUUCACCAUUUCCCUUGUGAUCGCCUCAGUUCAAGCCGGUGCUGGAUCAUUUUCUGGCGUGGCUCCAAGCUUUACCAAGGUUGAUCUCUGCCAAUAUAUUGUUUCCACUUGUUCUACCCUGCAACUUCUUCCAUGGAAUCUCCAGUCAAUUCUUUCCAGCUAUAAUGAAAUCAAGAGGAAGAAGAGAAGGUGCUGAAAAGAUCAACAUCUGAGUCACUUUGCCAUUCAAUUUACUCCAAGAAAAUAAUUCACUACAAAUAUAGAUGUGUGAUCAGCUACUUCUUGAGCAACAGGAUAACAAGAUGCUCGGGAUAUAUCAAUGUGCUGAACAUGGAUCAUUACCCAGAUGUGUUGUUAGGAUGGCACUAAGUGCUCAGACAAAACGUUAAAGAAGAGCAAAGAGCAAGGACUGGAAUGGAAGAGUGGCAACUUUAGCAUGGUCAGGGGAAGCCUCAUCUAGAAAGUGAAAUUAACAAAUGGCCUAAUAAAAAAGGUGCUUAAAUGUGAGCCAAGUGAAAAAGUGGUCUACUUGG